ensembl:lncRNA
UUCUUGAUCAACUAAGGAUUAUAUUAAACAUGCAUUUUGUUAUGCUUCCAUGACUUGACACAUAAGAAAUGUAAAAUCUAAAAUAAAAUCUCAAAUACUAUUUAUACCUCAAUAAUAUAUUGAAUUAUAAAUGGCUACAUUUAAAAGACAAAAAUAAGUGUUUUCUGAGAAAUGUUUAAUUGGAACCAAAAUUGGGGUAGGCUAGUUUUAUAUUAUAUGAGGAUGCAUAAAGGAUAGAUUUAGUCUAGGGAAUUUGAUAAACUCUUGUUUUUCAUUUUUUGAGAUGGGGUCUCACUCUGUGGCUCCGGUUGGAGUACAGUAGCAGAACAUAGCUCACUGCAGCCUUGACUACUUGGGUGCAAGCCAUACUCCCUCUUCAUCCUCCCAAGCAAUUUAGACCAGAGACACUCAUCACACUCAACUAAUUUAUUUUUAUUUUUGUAGAGACAGGGUAUCCACAUGUUGCCCAGCAAGGUCUCAAACUCCUGAGCUCAAGUGAUCCUCCUACCUUGGCUUCCUGAAUUAUUGGGAAUACAGACUCCAAGCGGAAGAAGUAGUCCUAAUUUAGAAUAUAUUAGAAUCAUGGUAGCUGUAAAAGAACUGUGACAGAAACAAGAGCUGUCUCUUAAAACCUAUGCUCAGACGUGUGGCAAAUCUUUCCAAUCAAUUAUAUUGGAGAGGACACUUGGAGAAAACACUGUCUAUGAGGAAUGGUCCAUGUCCAGUGAAUGCCAGUACCUUGAUCUUGGACUUCCUGGACUCCAGAACUGUAAGAAAUAAAUUUUUUCAAUAAAUUACCCUGCUCAGGUAUCCUGCUAUAGUGGCAUGAGCACCCUGAACCAGCAGACUGCACUGAGAGCCUAGGGUUAUGAAAGCCAGAGCAAGAGAUGAAGGCAGCUCAGAAAAGAAAUGAAGGGAACGGUAAAUGAAGAUAAAGACUGCUAAUCUUGUGCUACAUUGAAAAAAGCUUUCAAGGAAUUAAUGACUCAAGAAACAAUUUUAUUGUAUGUUGCUGUUAAUGUUGCUUUAGCUAAUUUUGGCUUGAUUUAAAUCUAGACAUAAAGUGUUGAUCAUUUUUCUCCCUGGUGAGCCAUAUGGUUCACUCAGAUACUUCUCCCUAGUUUCUAUUCAAAUAUCGCUUUAUCAGUGAGACCCUUACUGACACUCUAUAAAGUGUAAAAUAUCGCCGCACACCUCACUUCCACCUUCUUUUUGCAAGUUUUAUUUUUCUCAAUAAAAGUUAUAAAAAAGACAUUUAGUUUUUUAUUUGCUUAUAUAUCUCUUUCCCUCACCUGAAUGUAUGCUCUGUGAACAGAGGAAGAAUGUUUGUUGACUGCUCUGCCUCCAACAUUCAGAAAAUUAUAUAAGAUAUUCAAUUGUUUCU